UACGUAGGGUCCGAGCGUUGUCCGGAAUUAUUGGGCGUAAAGGGCUCGUAGGCGGUUUGUCGCGUCGGGAGUGAAAACACUGGGCUUAACCCAGUGCUUGCUUUCGAUACGGGCAGACUAGAGGUAUGCAGGGGAGAACGGAAUUCCUGGUGUAGCGGUGAAAUGCGCAGAUAUCAGGAGGAACACCGGUGGCGAAGGCGGUUCUCUGGGCAUGAUCUGACGCUGAGGAGCGAAAGUGUGGGGAGCGAACAGG
rnacentral:rRNA from 1 species